UGAGAGUGUGGAGCAAGAGAGCCUGACUGGUGCCAUCUUGUUAAUUUCCCCACAACAAGCAUCUUACUUGGGCCACCUGAUGUGAAGAGGCGACUCAUUGGAAUAGACCCUACACUGGGAAAGAUUGAGGGCAGGAGGAGAAGGGGAUGACAGAGGAUGAAAGAGUUGGAUGGCAUCAUUGACUCAAUGGAUGAUCACACCACCCUCAUUUACAUAUGAAAAAGCCUGGAAGCAGAGAAGCCACCCACUGUCCCCAUGUCACCAGAGAACCAUUGAUGAAGUUCUGGUUCUGCAACUGAACUAUCAUUUUCUGCCAGUGGCCUCCACAUGUGAUACUUGACAGCAUACCUAGUAGGAAACAAUAAAGAUGAAUAUAAAAGCUAAGUAUACCCUUUUGCAGGGCUUCCCCAGUGACUGAGCAGUAAAGACUCCACCUACAAUGCGGGAGCUGCAGGAGACCUGGGUUCGAUCCUUGGGUCCGGAAGAUUCCCUGGAGGAGGACGCUG
ensembl:lncRNA